GCAGUCGUGGCCGAGUGGUUAAGGCCAUGCACUAGAAAUCCAUUGGGGUCUCCCCGCACAGGUUCGAAUCCUGUUGACUGCG
rnacentral:tRNA from 1 species